UUAGAAUUGGCUUUGUGGCAUUGGGUUUUUGAUAAAGUUGAAAUCUUUGGGUAGAGAGAUGAUGAGAUUGAUGGAAUUAGUGUUGUGGGCUGAUGAUAUGAUUAGGUCAUGAUGAUUUAGCUGUAGAGGAGACAAGGGAUUUGAUAUUAACGUGUAAAGUGUGUGUGUGUGUGUGAGUGAGUGAGGGGAGGGUUUAAGGCUCUGUGCGUGUGUAUAUAUAUAUGUAUAUAUAUUGCAUGGUAGAGACGAUGGGACAAGUGAGUGAGAGAAAGAGAUAGAGAGAGAAGAGAGUGAAGGGGGUUUUGGGUCGUGGUCAUUUCUGUAAACCCAAGACCCAGUUGGUAGGGUCAUGGGAGGGGUCUCUGCUACUUUAAUUUACUUUGUCCUUUUCACCCUCCUCUCUCUCUCUCUCUCUCUCUCUCUCUCUCAACUCUCAGCCUUUUUAUCCCAUCAUCUCUCGUACCACCCAUUUCAUUUUUCUCAUUCACCAUAAUCACACACACACCGCUCCUCUGUUUCUCUCUGUCUUCUCUGCUUAGUUUAGAAGUAGCCUGAGGUUUCUUGGGUCAACUUGGUUCUGUGAAAUAGAGGCAAAAAACAAAGAUGAAAAGAGAAGAGGAAGCUAAUUUGUUUUUGAGGGGAAUGUUGUCUGGCUCGAGGCCCCUAACUAGAUCCAUGAUCUUCAUCUCAAUUGAUGUCAAUUUUAAUCAACAAUAUAGACUCAGUUGAGACAGAUCAUUUGGUUCUACAUUUAGUGACGUCGGACCAGGCUUCAUUCCCCCCAAUUAUUGCUUCCAAUCACACAGAUCUUCACUUACCCAUGUUAGAUUUUUGCCUUGAUCAUCCAAAGAUUUACAUGCCUGCAGAACAAGUGCUUGAUGAUCUUUUGUAUUUUUUCCUUUAUGUUCAAUUUACUUCUUUUGUUGUUAGUGUUAGUUGGUGGAGCCAGCUUUGGAGCUGUGUAUUGUAUUGUAAUCUCCGUCACUCUAGAUCUGUGAUAAUUCAGAUGAUUAGUUUGGUUGGAUUGUAAAGGAUUUGUGGAUCUAAGUUCUUUUAUAAAGAUCAUGUUUAUUCUUUA